UAAGUAAUGUGAAUUGCAGAAUUCAGUGAAUCAUCGAAUCUUUGAACGCACAUUGCGCCCGCCAGUAUUCUGGCGGGCAUGCCUGUCCGAGCGUCAUUU
rnacentral:rRNA from 10 species